rnacentral:rRNA from 1 species
UAAACGGCCGCGGAAUUUUAACCGUGCUAAGGUAGCAUAAUCAUUUGUCUUUUAAUUUAAGACUAGUAUGAAUGGUUCAACGAAAUAAAACUGUCUCUAAAAUAUUAAAUAAAAAUUAUUUUUAAAGUGAAAAAACUUUAAUAAAAUAAAAAGACAAAAAGACCCUAUAGAGUUUAAUUUAUUAAUAUAUAAAAUAAAUAUAAAUUUAGUUGGGGCAACUAAUGAAAAAAAAAUUUUUUAUUUAUUU